GGCUCCAUGUUGUAGUGGUUAGCAUGUCUGCUUUACACACAGAAGGUUCCUGCCUGGGUUCGCGCCCCAGGUGUAGCCA
rnacentral:tRNA from 1 species